UAAGGACUCUAGUACAGUAGGACAUGAAAAGACGCUAUACUGGGUUGUCCUCGGUUCUUCAAAAACGGCGCACAUUUAUUAUUAAUUGUUCUUUAUACAAAUUGUUGUUUUUACAACUUUUAAGCGGUGAAACUCGUGCAAUAUAUCGAAGCACGUCAAUUUCUUUACUCUCUUUGAUAACACAGAAUUGUGUUGUGUAUUGCAUUAAGAUUUUUAUGAAAAGUACCAAGAUGGAAGAACUACUAUAUCAUAUUGUUAGUCCUAAUUACUGGAUAAUAAUUCAUAAACCAUAUAUACAGUGAACAAGUUUUUGGUAAAGUUUUUAUAUUAAUAUGCAAAAAAGGUAUAUGAAAGGAUUUCGAGAAAAAAUUAUGUUAUGAAUAUCACAAAAUAUAUGCGUGACAUUUAUAUACACAAAAGCCUGCUGUACGUGGACCAAGCAGGCUAGGCACUACUGUGCCAAGCUUGGGUAAUGGAUCCUGUUCGUCCAUGGUAUACAUCGUAUAAUCGUCUUGCUUUAAGUACUGCAACCAGUACGUUUCAAUCAACAACUUCGAGCACAACCAGUGAUUUUGUAUCUCAUCACUUAGCAACAACUGCUACCCAAGCAGUUCCUUCAACAACAACGUCACAAUUACUUCUACAAGCAGCUCAUACAACAGCAACUCUGGCGGGUCAGCCAUCUCCGUUUAACCCAGGGGGGUUUUUGUCUCCACCCCCUGUGGGUUAUGAUGUAUUUUCACCUCUGUUUCAUCAUUCUAAUCCCAAACAAGCACAUUAUGUUACUCAACAUAGACAAGCUCUUGCUCAAGCACAAGUAGUGGCUGUAACAAAACAAAAUUCCACAACAGAAUCUGACAUCCCUGUGUUAAGGGAAAAUUAUAGUUCAGCACACCAGUCAACAUUUUUUGAGCAUCAGGGUGCAGCUACAUCACCUACGACAUCUACAUUGGCUUGGACUCAUCAAAAUAAUGCACAAUUACCUAGUCCAUUUGGUAUUUUACCUCAUGAAACUGUUGUUCCAUCAUCUCCAGGACCAUCAUCUACUACAAAACCAACUAGUGGUGUUUAUGAAAAUACAUUUAAUUCACAUUUUGCUACAACACAAACUAUAAAUAAUUUAAAUUCACAAUUAUCCACAUCUCCUGAAUAUAAAUCAUCUAGUUAUCCAGAUAAUAAGAAAACAAUGAGUAUAAGACCUCAAUCACCAACAGUAAGCAUCAAAUCAGUGGUUUCUACAUCACUAGCAAAUAGCAAUCAAACAUUCUUUCAGCAAGUACCUACUACGUUUAAUUCUGAGACAUUAGCAAAUAAUUAUUCUACUGGUAAUGGAAAUCAAACUCCUAAUGGAAAAGUGCAAUCUUCCCUUCAUCAACAAUCAUGUAUUGUUUCAACUCCAAAUAAUACAGUCAGUAAAGAGUAUAGAAUACCUCAACCACCUGCUCGAUCUGUUACAUCAACGACUAUAUUUUUGAAUACAUCUGUCAGAUCUGUGUCUUCACAAGUGCAAGAUAAACAACCCGCACGAAAUUUUGCUUCGCCACCGAAUAAAGUAAUUUCCACGUCUCAACAAAGUAUUCAAACUAAAGCACAGACGAAAAUAUAUCCAGAAUUGAGUACACAUAAUGAACAUAGACAAAAUGAAACAUCGCACGAUAAUACCCAGUCAUCUCCUAUUAGUUUUUCUAUUAUGGAUUCACGUGGUUUAAACUAUACUGCUGGAAAUAAUACAACGUGUACAAAUACUGGUGGUAAACUUGGUAAUAAUCAAAGGACUCAGUCAAACAGCAACUUGCAAACUCAUCCCCAACAAACACAACAACAGCAGCAACAACAACAGCAACAGUUUCAUGUUUUAAAUCAACAGCAGCAGCAACAACAACAACAACAACAACAAACGUCAUAUAGACAUUAUCUCACAGGAGCUGCAAAUGAUUCUGACUAUCAUCAUUCUGGAAGAUCAAAGUCUACAACUUCCAGUGAUUCUGCUUAUUCUUCUAAUAACUCCUCUCAAAAUGGACCUGAUUGUGGUGUUGUUGUACCAAGAAGACCAAGUCCAUUGCAGGCACAUUCACAAGCAAGUCCAUUGGGACAUGUUCCAAGUCCUGCUUAUCCUAUGUAUAACAGCCCAAUGGCUACUAUAUCGUCAUCUCCCUCACCUUUACAACAACAUACGGAAAAUGGAAAUCAAUGUGUAAGUGGGCCACCAUAUAAAGGAAGUGUACAACAACAAGUUACACCACCGUCGCCACUAGACGUAACUGUUCCGCGACCAGCAUCUCAAGGGCAAGUUGUUUAUUCAUCUGUCAUCACAAGGGCUCUGGGAACUACCGAAAAUAAGUCCAAUUAUAAUGCAGAUAGUAAAAAUUAUGAUAGACAACAAGACUUCUCACAAACACAGAAGCAAGUAUGUUGGGAAAAUGAUAACAGACAACCAAACACUAAUAGAAAAUUUUCUGUUACAUUGUAUACUGGUGGAACCACUGAUAUAAGUCCUCAAAAUUUACCAGUUCAACAAGUACAACGGGUAUUAAAUGUUUCUGAUAAACAGCAAAUAUAUUUUGAAUCCAACCAAGUAACUUUACAAGAUUUAAGCAGUUGCAGAGGAGAUCCUAUGAGUAUAGUAAAGAAUUUGCAAACUCUACAACAAGGAUCUUGUCAAGUACAACAACAACAACAAUCAACUGUUUCUGUUACACCACCUGAACAACAAAAGCACAUAGAAGAUCGACGUAAAGUCGACACUGCCAAUAAGAAAAGGAAAAGUUUGGAAAAAAGUGGUCAUAGUUCUUUAAAUGAAGUAACUGGAACAACAACAACAGCAACAACAAUGACAGAAUAUUUAAGCAGGAUACCACCACCUGCACAUCAUAACGCAAAUCAACAACAGCAAAACGGUUAUUUUGAUUUUGAAAGAUGGAAUUUACCUCCACCACCUGCUAAGAUGUUUCCUGGUGCAUCAGGUGCUUUUAGUUCACAAUCAAGUUUACACCAUUCAAGUAAUUUUGUUGGUACCCCAGCACAUCAGCAUCAGUCUUUAAUGGUACCUCAUCAUCAUGCUCCUCCUCCUAUCCCAUAUUUUCCUGCCUUUCAUAUUCCUCCAAGUCAUCAUCAUCCACACGAAUUUCAAUCUUCUGUUGAAAUUACACCAGUCGGUUUUGGUGAAAAUACAACAAAUCAAACUACUAGUUAUAAUCAAGAAAUUAGAGAAGAUCAACCUAAAGUAAUUGUUCCUAAUAUCGAAGAAGAAUUGAGGUUUUUACAACAAAAUCAACAACCAAUUCAAACUACGAAUUCGUUAAAUAAAGACUUUAAGAAAUCUAAUAAAGAUCCUAAUUCUGGGUUUAUGGCAAGUUAUUUAAAAUUUUUGCAAGGUGAAAGGGAACCAUCGCCUCCACCUGCAAUUCGUGGUGGCAGAAAAGCAACCUGGAAUAGGUCGAAACCUUAUAUUCCUACAGGCACCAACAAACCAGUAGAAAGUUCAGCAAAUGGGGAAACAGUGAAAACACAGCUAGAAAAGCCACCACCCCCUAAAGAAACUCCAGUAAUUGAUUAUGCUAAUGAUCCUAGAUAUUUUCCUUUACCAAAGGAGAGAAAGAAACAGAAUUUUGAUUCAAGCGAUGAUGGAUUUACUAGUGACGACGAUUUUCUAUUUCCCCCUAAAAAAGAUAAAAAAGCAACAAAUACAAAUGCUUCCAUUACGAUGGAACCAGUAGUUACAAAAUUGGAUGGUAAGCCCAAAAAAGGAAGGCCAAUUAAACCUGGAGGACCAACAGACAGAAAAAGAAGAGCUGCCGCAGCAGCGGCGGAAGCAGCGACAAUUGCAUCGACGGGGAAAGCUUCAAGAAAAUAUGAAGAAGUGGAUCCUUUACUUUUACCUCCAAGACGUGAAACAUCUAGGAGAAAAGCGAAGGAAAAAACGUCGGUAAAACAAUUUCUAGAUCGACAACAGGGUAUAGAUUACUUUGAUAACGACGAAGAACAAGGUGAUUCAGAUUCUGAUCCUGCUUGGACACCUGCUGUAAAAUUAGUUGGAGAUGAAGAAGAAAAGAAGAAAAAACGUGGUAGACCCGUUAUUACCAAAAAAAGUAGAAGAGUUAUAGAAGAAGAUGACUAUACUGGUGAUGUUAUCGUCUCAAAGAAGUCAAGCAGGAAAAAGAAUGAGACUGUUUCAAAAACAUCCAAUGUUGCUGGAAAAGUAUCUUGUAAAAUAGAUGAAAAACUUUUAGCAUCUAUCAGCGAUGAAGACAUUGAUAUUUCACCGUUUAAGCACUCAGGAGAUAAUUUAGAAGAUGUGUCUGGAGAAUUUGUUGUUAUCAAAGCGGACUUAAAUGAAGAAUACCCUGCAUUAUGGAGAAUAGAUGGCAAGACAUUACUACAAAAGUAUGAACCAUUUAAAUCCAACGGGAAAACCUUGUAUAGAAACAUAUCCACGUAUUCGGGUUGGGUACCACAAAAUCGACACAUAUAUCAACAAGUUCCAGUAAAGUUUUGGCAACAAGGAAAGACGGAGACCAUAGUAGAGUUUUUAAAAGAUGAAAUGAUUAUUGAUGACAAGGAAUGUAUUGACAAGUCUAUGAAAGAUAGUCAAAAAUAUCGAGAUAACUUUGAAGUAUAUAUACAAACAUUGAUCUCGCAAGCUUUGGACUCCAAUUUUCUUACAGAAAUCUUUCAAGAACAAGAUGAUUAUUUCCUUUCAAAUGUAAAAACUGUGGACGAGGUAACAGAGGAGAGAAAACAACGAUUGUUAUCAACAACAAAAUGGCGAUCAAAUGUUAUAAAUGCAAUAUCAACUUGGCCAUGCCUUAAUGUUCUUAAGGAUUUACCACUUACAGAAUAUAAAGGAAAGUCAUGUGCUGGUUGCCAACAAGCUAAUAUUCAUGCCAGAGUAUUACUAUAUGGUCAACCAUAUAAUGCAACUACGUUAGAGGGUUCUCCGCCUGACCCAAGAGUACCUCAAGAAAAGGAUUUUUUAUUAUGUCGAAUAUGUCAAGCAAAAGUAGCUCUGUACAAUAAAGUAGCACAUCAGAAGUAUUUAAUGUUUUUGGAAUGUGCAAGAAGAGUAGCAGACAAACGAGUAGCAAAUCCGCAUAAGGAUACUACAAUAAUACUAAACGAACUCCUAGCAGAUGAAGCAUGGUUAAAUCAGUUAUUUAAAGAAGUUAGGUCUAUUUGGGCGGAAAUAGACAAUUUGGAACAACAAACUAAAACAAAAUCAAGUUCAAAAUCUAUUUUACCUUCAUUGAAUGAUGCUGGAGAAACAAUUGAAAAUGUUUCAACGACGCAAAUAACUAAAUCGACUGCUAAUAUCUCCGAUUCACAGGUGCCUACACAGAAAACUGAAGAUAUUUCUGAAACAGUGUCUUGCAAUGUGCAAAUGAGCAGUAUACCAUCUUAGUGGUGCUACAAUAAUCAUUGGUUCUGUUUUAUGUACAAUGUCUCAAGACCAUUAAAGGUUUAGUGAUAUAUCGAUUUUAUGAAUAUAAAGUUAAUACCAGUCUCGAGACCAAACAGUUGAAUAUUGUAUUUUGAGGAUGGUAAAUAUUUAAUUUGAGUUAAUACUACAUGCUGUGCCGAACGGUGAAGUUAACGUUAAUGUGUAAUCAAGAAACUAUAGUUAUAGUGAUAAGAAGUAGUGAAUAGCGAGAUUUGUUAAGAAAGAAGAUGUUCUCUAAAAACAAGAGUGGUGAUAUGCGUGUAUGGCGCGAAUGUAUUUUUCAAAGACGAUAUAUUAAAUUAUAUUUGUAAAUUGUAAAAAUCUAAUAGCAACAGGUGACUGCUAUAAUAAAGCCAUAGGGCUUUAGACAUCUUUGAUAUACUAUUACGGUAUCAUUGUAUUAGCGAUUACUGUCGGAUUAUUGAAUUGUAAAAUAAAUUAUUUCAAGAAGCUAUAAACUUGGAAUUUAAAAAUGCGGGCAUUUGGACACUGACGCAGUAAUAAUAAAAGGAAAGUAUCCAGUUA